CGCUGGCGGCGUGCUUAACACAUGCAAGUCGAACGGCAAGGCCCUGCUUUUGUGGGGUGCUCGAGUGGCGAACGGGUGAGUAACACGUGAGUAACCUGCCCUUGACUUUGGGAUAACUUCAGGAAACUGGGGCUAAUACCGGAUAGGAGCUCCUGCUGCAUGGUGGGGGUUGGAAAGUUUCGGCGGUUGGGGAUGGACUCGCGGCUUAUCAGCUUGUUGGUGGGGUAGUGGCUUACCAAGGCUUUGACGGGUAGCCGGCCUGAGAGGGUGACCGGCCACAUUGGGACUGAGAUACGGCCCAGACUCCUACGGGAGGCAGCAGUGGGGAAUAUUGCACAAUGGGCGGAAGCCUGAUGCAGCAACGCCGCGUGCGGGAUGACGGCCUUCGGGUUGUAAACCGCUUUCGCCUGUGACGAAGCGUGAGUGACGGUAAUGGGUAAAGAAGCACCGGCUAACUACGUG
rnacentral:rRNA from 1 species